AUUUCUGGCGGGCGAAGGCGCCGAAACGAAACACAACGCUUGAAAACAACGAAAAUCCCUUAGGGCCUUAGCUCUCCAGAGAUGUCUUCUUGUGGUUUCUUCUACUGUUACGAAGAGUGAAGUUGUGAACAGCAUCAGGAACAUCGGUGCUCCAGGCUAUCCGCUUCAUAGUUGCAGUUGAUGGAAGAUUCAUCAACUCAGACUUGACUUCACUCGUGCUGCGAUGGCCAUGGUUUUCGCAGCAUUUGUCAUAUUUGUUAUUUAUUACCCAUCAGAAGCUUCAGUCACAAUGGAAUUUAUGCAGAGGUGUUUCUGAAAAAUAAAUGCAGAAAAAGGGACAAAAAAA